rnacentral:lncRNA from 1 species
AAAAUGUGGAGUGUCAGUCAAGAGGCAACACUAGGAGGCAAGGAAUCUGCAUUUCUUUCAGACCUUGGCAGAGAGCGCCCUGGGAAAUGCGGAUAUAGAAGGUCAGGAGAACAUCUCUCCUGGUUAUACAGCAUUCCAGGACUCCUCAUCUGUUUUUAAGAGGGAAAUCUGAGUUUUCAAGGAAAGCCGAAUACAGUUGCCAAGUUGCCAGUCAAAGAAACAAUGUCAACACCUGCUCAUAGAGAUGGAAUUCCUAACCCGGAAUAUUGCCCUUGAAUUACAACGAGAAAAAGCACCUCUUCAAGUGAGAUGGCAGACCACCUCAGGAUGGAAAUGUAUUUCUUCAUCCCCCUCUCUACUUCCCUGUGACCUCCUGCAAAUAAGGGAGAGACAAAGAGAAGAGCAGAAGAACAGAAGAAUGGAGUGGCAAAGAGAAGAGAAGGAGUGACUGAACAUUGACAAGACUUUGGUUGGGGAUGGUCAGAGAGGAGAUUAGCUGCUAGACGGCCACACUGCGGAGAAAGAUCAUUUUCCCACUCCAUCCCCCUUCCAGCUCCCCAUCCAUCUCACCAAGAGCCAGCUCCACCACUCAAUAAAACCUUACAUUCAUCUUUCAAGUCUGUGUGUGACCUGAUUCUUCCUGGAUGCUGGACAAGGACUUGGGUAUCAAGAGGGCACUGAGCUGGUUAACACUUAAGCUGUUCAUGGACAACAAGGCUAGCACUGUAACACGCUGACUGGGGCUUUGGGAGUCAUGGACACCCACCCCUAGAUGCUGCCAUGGGGCUGGAACCCAGGGGUGCUCAUCCCAGCUCCUACACCUGCCCAUCUGUGUGCUCCCCAGCCUGUAAGGAGUUUAAGCACACAGCACCAGAAUAAAUGAGGCAUAUCCCUGUUGCUCAUCCUGCAAGGGGGUUCAGGGAACUCUCCCAUUUCAGUGAGAUGGGUUGAAAUGUGUUUAGUUGAAUAUCUGGAGCCAUCUAAACCUCAGAAAUAAAACCCCAGUUGACUCAAAGUCAGCAAGUUGGAGGUCAUGACCUUCAGUUCUUUAUUUAUUUUUUUUUUUUGGGAAGGAGUCUUGCUCUGCCACCAGGCUAGAGUGCAGUGGCACGAUCUUGGCUCACUGCAAGCUCUGCCUCCCAGGUUUAAG